rnacentral:rRNA from 1 species
CAGCACCUCAAGUGGUCAGGAUGAUUAUUGGGCCUACAGCAUCCGUAGCCGGCGCUGUAAGUUUUCGGUUAAAUCUGUACGCUCAACGUACAGGCUGCCGGGAAUACUGCAGCGCUAGGGAGUGGGAGAGGUAGACGGUACUCGGUAGGAAGGGGUAAAAUCCUUUGAUCUAUUGAUGACCACCUGUGGCGAAGGCGGUCUACCAGAACACGUCCGACGGUGAGGGAUGAAAGCUGGGGGAGCAAACCGGUUAGAUACCCGCGUAGUCC